CAGCAGCCGCGGGAAUACGAAGGGUGCAAGCGUUAAUCGGAUUUACUGGGCGUAAAGCGUGCGUAGGCGGCUUUUUAAGUCGGAUGUGAAAUCCCUGAGCUUAACUUAGGAAUUGCAUUCGAUACUGGGAAGCUAGAGUAUGGGAGAGGAUGGUAGAAUUCCAGGUGUAGCGGUGAAAUGCGUAGAGAUCUGGAGGAAUACCGAUGGCGAAGGCAGCCAUCUGGCCUAAUACUGACGCUGAGGUACGAAAGCAUGGGGAGCAAACAGGAUUAGAGACCCCCGUAGUCCCUGUCUCUUAUAC
rnacentral:rRNA from 1 species